CCUAGCCGAUGCUUUAACUGCAGUCGAGCGGCAGCGCGGGGCAACCUGGCGGCGAGCGGCGAACGGGUGAGUAAUGCAUCGGAACAUGUCCAUGUCGUGGGGGAUAGCCCGGCGAAAGCCGGAUUAAUACCGCAUACGCCCGAGAGGGGAAAGCCGGGGACCGCAAGGCCUGGCGCGAUUGGGUUGGCCGAUGUCCGAUUAGCUAGUUGGCGGGGUAAUGGCCCACCAAGGCGAUGAUCGGUAGCUGGUCUGAGAGGAUGAUCAGCCACACUGGGACUGAGACACGGCCCAGACUCCUACGGGAGGCAGCAGUGGGGAAUUUUGGACAAUGGGGGAAACCCUGAUCCAGCCAUUCCGCGUGAGUGAAGAAGGCCUUCGGGUUGUAAAGCUCUUUUGUCCGGAACGAAACGGUUGGCGUGAAUAUCGCCGACUACUGACGGUACCGGAAGAAUAAGCACCGGCUAACUACGUGCCAGCAGCCGCGGUAAUACGUAGGGUGCGAGCGUUAAUCGGAAUUACUGGGCGUAAAGCGUGCGCAGGCGGUUUUGUAAGCCAGAUGUGAAAUCCCCGGGCUUAACCUGGGAAUGGCAUUUGGGACUGCAAGGCUGGAGUGUGGCAGAGGAGACUGGAAUUCCCGGUGUAGCAGUGAAAUGCGUAGAUAUCGGGAGGAAUACCGAUGGCGAAGGCAGAUCUCUGGGCUGACACUGACGCUCAUGCACGAAAGCGUGGGGAGCAAACAGGAUUAGAUACCCUGGUAGUCCACGCCCUAAACGAUGUCGACUGGUUGUUGGGGGUUUGACACUCUCAGUAACGAAGCUAACGCGUGAAGUCGACCGCCUGGGGAGUACGGCCGCAAGGUUAAAACUCAAAGGAAUUGACGG
rnacentral:rRNA from 1 species